GAAUAUGAUGAUAGUUUUUGUCGCCCCAGUCUUACAUGCAUCUUCAGAUGCAAUGAUGGUGACUGACGUUAUCUAUCUGAUUC